rnacentral:rRNA from 1 species
UACGGGGGGGGCAAGCGUUGUUCGGAAUUACUGGGCGUAAAGGGCUCGUAGGUGGCCAACUAAGUCAGACGUGAAAUCCCUCAGCUUAACUGGGGAACUGCGUCUGAUACUGGAUGGCUUGAGUUUGGGAGAGGGAUGCGGAAUUCCAGGUGUAGCGGUGAAAUGCGUAGAUAUCUGGAGGAACACCGGUGGCGAAGGCGGCAUCCUGGACCGGUAUUGACGCUGAUGCGCGAAAGCCAGGGGAGCAAACGGG